AAGAAGAGGAAAAGAGGGAAGGUUGUGAGGUCGGGAUGUCCGGCCCACCUUUACAUCACCCACACGGAUGCGUGGUGGAGAGUCAAACGCUUCAACGAUGACCACAACUACCCUCUAAUAAGAAAGCCGUCCUGGACAAAGUUCCUAUCAUCACAUAGGAACAUUCCAAAGGAUGAGUAGGACUUCUUGAAGAUUUUGCACGGAUGCAACAUAGAGACAGCAAGACAGAUGCAACUAAUGUCAUGGUUCUAUGGGUCUCCUAAAGAUGUACCAUACACGACAAAGGACAUCGCAAACCAGCGAGCUAAAUUCCGCAUGGAGUACUGCCAUGCCAUUGUGGGUAGCAAAAUCUCAUACUUCCAAGAUAUGAAGGCACAAGAUCCAGAUUUCUAUUGGAGAAUAAAGCUUGAUGAUGAGGAUAGAGUGGAGAAUUUGUUCUGGAUAGAUGGUGCGUCGCGCAGGGCAUAUGCUAGAUACAAUGAUGUCAUCUCAUUCAACACAACAUACAUGACAAACAUGUACAAGAUGCCUUGUGCACCCUUCAUUGGCAUUAAUAACCAUGGGAAGACAAUCCAGUUUGCUUGUGGAUUUGUUUGA
rnacentral:rRNA from 1 species